GCUCAGAACGAACGCUGGCGGCGUGCCUAACACAUGCAAGUCGAACGGUAACAGGGACUUCGGUCCGCUGACGAGUGGCGCACGGGUGAGUAACGCGUGGAGUACCUGCCCAUCAGUGUGGAACAACCUGGAGAAAUCCAGGCUAAUACCGCAUACAACCUUCGGGUGAAAGAGGGGGAUCUUCGGACCUCUCGCUGAUGGAUGGCUCCGCGUCUGAUUAGCUAGUUGGUAAGGUAACGGCUUACCAAGGCGAUGAUCAGUAGCUGGUCUGAGAGGAUGAUCAGUCACACUGGAACUGAGACACGGUCCAGACUCCUACGGGAGGCAGCAGUGGGGAAUUUUGCACAAUGGGGGAAACCCUGAUGCAGCGACGCCGCGUGCGGGAAGAAGGCCUUCGGGUUGUAAACCGCUUUCAGCAGGGAAGAAGGAAUGAGGGCCAAUACCCCUCUGCCUUGACGGUACCUGCAGAAGAAGCCCCGGCUAAUUUCGUGCCAGCAGCCGCGGUAAUACGAAAGGGGCAAGCGUUGUUCGGAUUUACUGGGCGUAAAGAGAUCGUAGGUGGCUUGUUAAGUCGGAUGUGAAAUCCCGGGGCUCAACCCCGGAACUGCAUUCGAUACUGGCAGGCUUGAGUUCGGGAGGGGUAAGCGGAAUUCCGUGUGUAGCAGUGAAAUGCGUAGAUAUACGGAGGAACACCUGAGGCGAAAGCGGCUCACUGGACCGAUACUGACACUGAGGAUCGAAAGCGUGGGUAGCAAACAGGAUUAGAUACCCUGGCAGUCCACGCCCUGAACGAUGUCUACUAGCCGUUGCGGGUAUCGACCCCUGCAGUGGCGCAGCUAACGCAUAAGUAGACCGCCUGGGGAGUACGGCCGCAAGGCUAAAACUCAAAGGAAUUGACGGGGGCCCGCACAAGCGGUGGAGCAUGUGGUUUAAUUCGACGCA
rnacentral:rRNA from 1 species